rnacentral:rRNA from 1 species
AGAGGAUGGUCAGCCACACUGGGACUGAGACACUGCCCAGACUCCUACGGGAGGCUGCAGUCGAGGAUCAUUGGCAAUGCGCGCAAGCGUGACCAUGCGACGCUGUGUGGAGGAUGAAGGCCUUCGGGUCGUAAACUCCUGUCAUGAGGGAAAAAUCCUUCGGCCCGGAAUAUGGGUUGGAGUUGAUGGUACCUCAAGAGGAAGCGGCUGCUAACUCUGUGCCAGCAGCAGCGGUAAUACAGAGGCCGCAAGCGUUGUUCGGAUUUACUGGGCGUAAAGGGUGCGUAGGUUGUUCUGCAUGUCGGAUGUGAAAGCCCACGGCUCAACCGUGGAAGGCCAUCCGAAACUGUAGAGCUUGAGUCCAGGAAGGGAGAGCGGAAUUCUUGGUGUAGCGGUGAAAUGCGUUGAUAUCAAGAGGAACGCCGGCGGCGAAGGCGGCUCUCUGGACUAGUACUGACACUGAGGCACGAAAGCUGGGGGAGCAAACAGGAUUAGAUACCCUGGUAGUCCCAGCCUUAAACGGUGCGCACUUGGUGUGGGGGGAAUUGACCCCUCCCGUGCCGGAGCUAACGCGUUAAGUGCGCCGCCUGGGGAGUACGGUCGCAAGAUUAAAACUCAAAGAAAUUGACGGGGGCCCGCACAAGCGGAGGAGCAUGUGGCUCAAUUCGAUGCAACGCGAAGAACCUUACCUGGGCUUGACAUGCAGCUGCAGGCCCCGUGAAAGCGGGGCGGCCUUCGAGGGUGCUGCACAGGUGCUGCAUGGCUGUCGUCAGUUCGUGCCGUGAGGUGUUGGGUUAAGUCCCGCAACGAACGCAACCCUUGUGGUUAGUUGCCACCGGCGGUGAUGAGCCGCCGAGCACUCUAGCUAGACUGCCCGUACAAGCGGGAGGAAGGUGGGGAUGACGUCAAGUCAGCAUGGCCCUUACGCCCAGGGCUGCACACGUGCUACAAUGGCCGGUACAGAGGGAAGCAAUACCGCGAGGUGGAGCAAAUCCAUUAGAACCGGCCCCAGUUCAGAUUGCAGGCUGCAACUCGCCUGCAUGAAGUCGGAUUCGCUAGUAACGGCGCAUCAGCUACGGCGCCGUGAAUACGUUCCCGGGCCUUGUACACACCGCCCGUCACAUCAUGAAAGCCGUCUGCACCCGAAGUCGCUGAGCUAACCCGCAAGGGAGGCAGGUGCCUAAGGUGUGGGUGGUGAUUGGGAUGAAGUCGUAACAAGGUA